rnacentral:rRNA from 3 species
GGGCGUUAAGUUGCAGGGUAUAGACCCGAAACCCGGUGAUCUAGCCAUGGGCAGGUUGAAGGUUGGGUAACACUAACUGGAGGACCGAACCGACUAAUGUUGAAAAAUUAGCGGAUGACCUGUGGCUGGGGGUGAAAGGCCAAUCAAACCGGGAGAUAGCUGGUUCUCCCCGAAAGCUAUUUAGGUAGCGCCUCGUGAACUCAUCUCCGGGGGUAGAGCACUGUUUCGGCUAGGGGGCCAUCCCGGCUUACCAACCCGAUGCAAACUGCGAAUACCGGAGAAUGUUAUCACGGGAGACACACGGCGGGUGCUAACGUCCGUCGUGAAGAGGGAAACAACCCAGACCGCCAGCUAAGGUCCCAAAGUCAUGGUUAAGUGGGAAACGAUGUGGGAAGGCCCAGACAGCCAGGAUGUUGGCUUAGAAGCAGCCAUCAUUUAAAGAAAGCGUAAUAGCUCACUGGUCGAGUCGGCCUGCGCGGAAGAUGUAACGGGGCUAAACCAUGCACCGAAGCUGCGGCAGCGACACUUUAGUGUUGUUGGGUAGGGGAGCGUUCUGUAAGCCGUUGAAGGUGUCCUGUGAGGGGUGCUGGAGGUAUCAGAAGUGCGAAUGCUGACAUAAGUAACGAUAAAGCGGGUGAAAAGCCCGCUCGCCGGAAGACCAAGGGUUCCUGUCCAACGUUAAUCGGGGCAGGGUGAGUCGACCCCUAAGGCGAGGCCGAAAGGCGUAGUCGAUGGGAAACGGGUUAAUAUUCCCGUACUUGGUGUUACUGCGAAGGGGGGACGGAGAAGGCUAUGUUGGCCGGGCGACGGUAGUCCCGGUUUAAGCGUGUAGGUGUGUGUUCCAGGCAAAUCCGGUUCACUUUAACACUGAGGCGUGAUGACGAGGCACCACGGUGCUGAAGCAACAAAUGCCCUGCUUCCAGGAAAAGCCUCUAAGCAUCAGGUAACAUCAAAUCGUACCCCAAACCGACACAGGUGGUCAGGUAGAGAAUACCAAGGCGCUUGAGAGAACUCGGGUGAAGGAACUAGGCAAAAUGGUGCCGUAACUUCGGGAGAAGGCACGCUGACACGUAGGUGAAGUGAUUUACUCACGGAGCUGAAGUCAGUCGAAGAUACCAGCUGGCUGCAACUGUUUAUUAAAAACACAGCACUGUGCAAACACGAAAGUGGACGUAUACGGUGUGACGCCUGCCCGGUGCCGGAAGGUUAAUUGAUGGGGUCAGCGCAAGCGAAGCUCCUGAUCGAAGCCCCGGUAAACGGCGGCCGUAACUAUAACGGUCCUAAGGUAGCGAAAUUCCUUGUCGGGUAAGUUCCGACCUGCACGAAUGGCGUAAUGAUGGCCAGGCUGUCUCCACCCGAGACUCAGUGAAAUUGAACUCGCUGUGAAGAUGCAGUGUACCCGCGGCAAGACGGAAAGACCCCGUGAACCUUUACUAUAGCUUGACACUGAACAUUGAGCCUUGAUGUGUAGGAUAGGUGGGAGGCUUUGAAGCGUGGACGCCAGUCUGCGUGGAGCCGACCUUGAAAUACCACCCUUUAAUGUUUGAUGUUCUAACGUGGACCCGUAAUCCGGGUUGCGGACAGUGUCUGGUGGGUAGUUUGACUGGGGCGGUCUCCUCCUAAAGAGUAACGGAGGAGCACGAAGGUUGGCUAAUCCUGGUCGGACAUCAGGAGGUUAGUGCAAUGGCAUAAGCCAGCUUGACUGCGAGCGUGACGGCGCGAGCAGGUGCGAAAGCAGGUCAUAGUGAUCCGGUGGUUCUGAAUGGAAGGGCCAUCGCUCAACGGAUAAAAGGUACUCCGGGGAUAACAGGCUGAUACCGCCCAAGAGUUCAUAUCGACGGCGGUGUUUGGCACCUCGAUGUCGGCUCAUCACAUCCUGGGGCUGAAGUAGGUCCCAAGGGUAUGGCUGUUCGCCAUUUAAAGUGGUACGCGAGCUGGGUUUAGAACGUCGUGAGACAGUUCGGUCCCUAUCUGCCGUGGGCGCUGGAGAAUUGAGGGGGGCUGCUCCUAGUACGAGAGGACCGGAGUGGACGCAUCACUGGUGUUCGGGUUGUCAUGCCAAUGGCACUGCCCGGUAGCUAAAUGCGGAAAAGAUAAGUGCUGAAAGCAUCUAAGCACGAAACUUGCCCCGAGAUGAGUUCUCCCUGAGACUUUGAGUCUCCUGAAGGAACGUUAAAGACGAUGACGUUGAUAGGCCGGGUGUGUAAGCGCAGCGAUGCGUUGAGCUAACCGGUACUAAUGAACCGUGAGGCUUAACCUUACAACGCCGAAGGUGUUU